CCUACGGGAGGCAGCAGUGAGGAAUAUUGGUCCAUGGACGAGAGUCUGAACCAGCCAAGUAGCGUGAAGGAUGACUGCCCUAUGGGUUGUAAACUUCUUUUAUAUGGGAAUAAAAUGUUCCACGUGUGGGAUUUUGUAUGUACCAUAUGAAUAAGGAUCGGCGAACUCCGUGCCAGCAGCCGCGGUAAUACGGAGGAUCCGAGCGUUAUCCGGAUUUAUUGGGUUUAAAGGGAGCGUAGGUGGAUUGUUAAGUCAGUUGUGAAAGUUUGCGGCUCAACCGUAAAAUUGCAGUUGAAACUGGCAGUCUUGAGGACAGUAGAGGUGGGCGGAAUUCGUGGUGUAGCGGUGAAAUGCUUAGAUAUCACGAAGAACUCCGAUGGCGAAGGCAGUUCACUGGACUGCAACUGACACUGAGGCUCGAAAGUGUGGGUAUCAAACAGGAUUAGAUACCCCGGUAGUC
rnacentral:rRNA from 1 species